GCCCUGACCGUUAUGGCUCAGUUGGUUGGGCGUUGUCCUACAAAGGGAAAGGUCGCUGGUUCGAUUCCCGGUCAGGGCA